AAAAAAAUUUGCAAUAAAACCUCCCAAAACAAAACACAACGCCUCUGCGGAGGAGAGUGCUAGGAAAUAGUCGCAAGGCUUGGAACGGCUAGCAUUUUAUCGGAUUGUUUGCAUGAAAUCAAUCGCUAUUAUGAAAUAGUUGGCGAAGAACAAUAUGAAUUACACACAAGAUGGCUGUGGAGGAGGCUAUGGAAGGGCAUGGUCUCAUUAUCAAGUGAAUCAACUGCAAUUCUGAC